rnacentral:tRNA from 1 species
AUGUUUAUAGCUCAGUGGAUAGAGUUUCAGGUUGCGGACCUGAAGGUCGAAAGUUCAAAUCUUUCUAAACAUA